UGGCGGCGUAAAGGAGGUGAACUGUCGCCGUAAAGAUUCAGGAAUGAAGCGGUUCUGGAGCCAUAGCGCUCUGUCUGGUUGACCUCUAUUAAACUGCUGCUGUAAAGACUAUGAUCUGUGGUGCCCACUGCAAAGAAUCAACGGCGAGUGUGAUGCCAUUGGAAUGAGAUUCACCAUGUCCAAAUUUUAUGUCAUGGUCCUGUCCCAUAAAAAAGCAGCUUGUUGUUUGCAGAUGAUGUGCCAACUCUUUGAUGUCUCUCAAAUGCAGAAUUCCUGUGAAACUGAGCGGAAGGUACAGAAUCUUGGUGGACUUCCCUGGUGUCUGCCUUUGUUUGAAGCUGAACUCAAGCUUUUUGAGGAUGCUUAUCUUUUUGAUUUUAAUUUCUGCAAGGACUGCCAAACAAGAUUAUAGCCUGCUUGGAGCCCCCAUACAACCAGUAUGUUGCCUUCUGUUCCAGAAAGACCAACAGCAACCCUCUGUUUCUGCAAAGGGCUUGAUUGUAGCCCUGGAAGCAAAAACGGUUUAGCAAUACAAUUUUUAGUUCACAGCAUUUUAUUUUUGCCUUCUGGAUUACAUUUUUCCAAGUAGCACGCAAGCAUUAAAAGCACAUUUAGCACUUUUGGGGGGUGGGGGGGUAUGAGUUAGUUUUACACUUAAAAUCAUCAGUGUUUGUGCCUCAUGCACUGAUAUUCCACAGUAUGAAGAUCUUUGUGUUUUCAAACCUCUGCUUAUUUCUUCACUUCCUUUUUUUUGUGUUCUAAUGGAUAUGUAUUUUUUUUUUUUAACUGAUGGCGUAAGGCUAAGUAGUUGUUUAUUGAAACGAAGAACAGAAUAUUUUAGGUUUGCUUUUGUUUCGAAAAGUUAGGAUUUUCAGUGUCUGUUUAGACACUCUGCAGUGACAAAUAAGCUUGUUCGGAAGAGGUGUAGGAUAUAGUGAAACACAGUUAACAAAAUGAGCAAAUCAAGGUAAAGUGGUAAAAAAUCAGUUUUCGUACUACUUAUGCAUUUGCAGUGGAAGUGUUUAUUUAACAUUUUGCACUUAGUUUACAGACAGGAAAAAUAUUUAAUUAUUUUCUGCCCUUUGAACUGUGGUAUGAAUGUUGUGUAUUUGAUGACAGAAGAAUCACUAGAUGUCCUGAGCUACUAGUCCUUCUGUUACAGAGCAACUGUGUAAAUGUUUAUGGGUGUUUUGUUUUUUUUUUUUUUUUUUUUUCUUUUUGGGCUAUAGAUUAUUAGAUUACUGUACUAAAGCUUUGCAUGGCUGAACCCUUACAAUGUAUUUCUUAAGAGUUUUUUUCCUAUAAUUCUGCAAAAGAUUGUUUACACUUUUGUUUUUAGUUAAUUCUUACACCUAAUAUAAGGACUAUCACAGGUUGGAUAACCUCGACAGACAUCAGUAUACUGAAAGGAAAUUUUACUACAUUUUUCUGAGGAGAUUAUUUUUUUAAAACCAACUGUUAUCCAAUUUUUUGUACCAUUCUUAAAAUAGCUAAUUGAUUCCAAGUCAUACUACUCAGGCCAAAGUCUGGACUGAUCAGUGCUGGACAAUUUUCUAUUUCUUUUCAUUUGAUUCAAAAUGCAACAUUAAAACUGCCUUUUAGGGAAGAGUAAAGGAUUAUGUUUCAGAACUAAGUGGAUAGCUGAUAGAAACAAAGUGUUUUAUUUUUUUUUAGUUGUUUUUCUUGUUUUUAAUAUCACCUAAGUAUGUGGGUAUGUGCAAUAUGUUCUUUAUAAAUAAUUGUGAAACAAGUGACAAGUUGUUUAAGAACAACAAAAUCACCAACGUCUUCCAUUUUAAAAUGUAUAGUUCCAUGCGUAUUAGCUUAACAGCACAUGAUAGUGCCAUGUUAGUAGCCAUGCAUGUUAGCAAUGCUUGCAAAACUAGCAAUUUUAACAAGAAUUGAUAUCUAUUGGAGGUGUGGUAAGAGAAUGAGGCAUCCAGGUUGUUUGUUUUUAUUUUAUUAUAUUUUAUUUUGCAAACCGAAAAGGCACUGAACAUAUUUAGAGUACUGUAGGCGUUGGGUGGUGGGGGGUGUUUAAUUUGUAGACUUCUAGGCAUUUCAACAAAACUGAUUUUCGUGACACAAUAACAUGGAACAUUUAGUUAUGUGUUCAGUUUUAAAUAAUCCAUUAGGUUUAGUUAUCUUUGUAAUGUAAAUCUAAAAUAAAAUACUGUACAAGUAUACAGUAAUAAAUGGAGGCUGCAAAACCAAAGUCUGCCUUCAGAAACCCUUUUAACACUUUACAGCACUUUUCCAAUACUAGAGCAUAGUUGGGUCUAGACUGCCCUUUAUUCAAUUUAUUCAUUUUUCCAUUAACCAAAGGAGAGUUAGUUAUAUUUGUGCUUUGUAUGCUAAGAUUCAGCAUGUUUUUUUUUUUUGUUUUUUUUUUUCAUUUAUUGUUUUCUUGUUAGCCCCUCAUGUUCAGUGUGUACAUUUUGAACAGUCUGUAUGUACCACAAAAAGGUAAUUGUGUGUUCUUUAAAAGUUUUGGCAGUAUUGAAUAUUGUAUAAUGAAAAAGAGUAGGAAACAGAUAAAAUAAAUAUAGGAAAACAAAAUUUACAUGAACAGCUUCUUAAACCAUUUUAUACAUACAGUGCUGAACAUUGUUUAGCAUCACCUUGCUUAAUUCCAGAGUGUUUUACAUACUAUUAUUAAAGUCAUUUUCUAGCCCGUUUAGCCCUGAACAUAGUCGCAGAGGGUGUUUGAGCAUAUCCCUGAAAGCACAGAGAGCAAGGCAGGAACAGAACCUGCACAGGGUACCAUUCCAUUGCACGGCAAACACACACACACACACACACCGCCCAAUUUCUUGUGACCAAUUUAACAUCUCCAGUUCACCUAACCUUCUUACCUUUGGACUGUGGGAGGAAACCAGAGCACCCAGAGGAAACUCAAGCAGACACAGGGAGAACAUGCAAGCUCUACACAGGGACGACCCAGGACGUGAACCCUAGUCUCCUUACUGUGAGAUAGCAGUGCUACCAUUGCGCCAUUACACCACCCUGUUAUUAAAGUAAAAGCAUGAAAUGUGAAAGAAAGCAUAAUAAAAUACAAAAUCCAAUGCUCAAUUACAUGGUGCUUACCUUUUUUCAGCACUCAGUUGUGUGUGUAGUAUAUGCUUUGAACCACACAAAACUGAGAGAGUUUCAUCACUCCUGAAUGCCCUUUUCUUGUAUUAAACAAGUCUUUAUUGUGUAAUCUGUUGUAAUCCUUUGACCUCUGGAACAAAGUAAGAGUGCUAAGUGAGAUUCAAUUGCAAAGCUGUUUUAGUGAAUAUCAGGCUACAGAAAUGUAGUACUUGGGUAUUCAGUAGCAGAUACAUUUUUCACAGUAUUUUUAGAGUUAAGCAUUGAGCUUGCUAAUUUUUUUGUUAAUAACAAUUAUAUAUUAGUGGUAUUCUCACUACUUUAACGUUUUUAAUUAUUUUUAAUUAAGUAUGAAAAUGAUUCAUAGGCUGAGAGUCCAAAUUUGGUCUGAUGCUCCCGCAUUCUCUGUAUAGAAAAAUGUUUUGAUUUUAUUUAAAUUAAUUAGCCAGACCCCCUAGAAGCCAAUAAGUUAGUGUCCUGCCAUUGAUUAAACAUUAUUACAUGCUUAAAAAAAUAAAAAGGAUGACUCAGCCUCUGAUUACUUGCCCUAGGAUGUCGAUUAUAUUUUUGUCAUAUAAAUUAUUACAUAAUUACUAAUGAAUUAGUUCUAGUUAUAGAAAGUAGAGUAGUGCUUAGCUAAACAUAUUUUAAGUGCAAAAUACCUCAUAUUUUCAACUUCAGAUAGCACACCAUCUAGGUAAAUCCUAAUGCAAAUUAAGCCAUAUUUUGAUAUUAGAAUAUUAGAAGCAAUAAUAAUGUUAUGCAUGAACUAGUGUUGGAAUGAUACGAUCAUACAGUAGGUAGAAUGAAUAAACAUGUAUAGUGAUUAUUGUUAAAUAAUGUAGGAGAAAGGAGGCAAGUUUUAUUAGCUGGAUUAACGGUAGAAAUCUGUCUAUAUUUUUACUUGUACUGCAUGAAUGGACUUGAACAGUCCUGUAUUUCUGGUGUAUUAUGUGGGUGCAAAGUUAUGAACAAACGAUUUUCCAGUUCUUUUAGACAGCUUUUUCACUUGUCUGCUCAAACACAAUAUUUGUGUAGCUUGUAUUAUAAAAAUGAACCAAUUGAAAAAAAUCUUUGAGAUAUUUUUUUUUUGCUGUAAAUAAAUUCCUGUCCAGAUUCAGAUCUCCCUAAGUCAGUGGUGAUAAUUUCCUUCAGUAGUUUUUUAUUUUUUUUAUUUUUUUAUUUUUUUUUGUGUGUGUGUGUGUUUUUUUUUCUCCUAUAACUAAUAUAACCAACAGGUUUAACAUUCCUUACAUUGAAUACAGAGCCAGAAGAGAUACCAGCAAGGGAUCCCUACAUAUUUUUUUAGCACUAUCAUUCUUUCAUUUUUAAAUGCCAAACUCAUGAAGUAUUGUUUUUAAUUUGCUAAGUGUAUUCCUUUUAGUAAACCUAGCUGGAGAUUUUUUUUUUUUUUUACUAUUAUUUGAAAACCUUGCAGCAAAUUCCACAUUUCACAAUGAAUCCUUGCUAAAUGAAAAAGAUGGAUGUACUGGGGGUACACUUCUACAACAAACUCCUCUGUAGAUAAGUGAACUGUAAACUUUCUUGACCAGUCUUAAGUGUGGUCUUGAAUAGCUCUUUUCUUAGUAAACAUCAGCAAUGAAUGGACGACUGGUGUUAACAACAUAUUCUGUAUGAACACGUUGUCAGUACCACAAUAUCUUCAAAAAACAAGCUAACAGCACUUAACCUUUUGCCAUGUUUUUAUAAUUUAUCAUGAGAAAGGAUUUUUUUUUUUUUUUUUUAACUUAAAGACAAGGUACUGCAAAUAAGAAUAUGCAUGUUGUCAAAAGUGUUAAAAUUAGUUAAUCCUGGAAAGGAAUGCAUAAUGCAGAUUUAGGUGAUAUUUGAAAAAGCAAUAGUACAAAAAAGUUCCAAUGUAUUGAACAAGUAGAGGGUGUACUGAUGUGCAUUUUGUAACUGUUGUCUAUGAAGCCACUAAGUUACAUGGCUUUCUCUGUGUUAAUACAAUGAAUAUUUAGUCUGAUUAAAGUGUUCUGUUUUAGUGCUUUUGAUCUUAAUCGGAGGUUUUGGUGCAAAAAGCAUAAUUAGACUUGGUUGGACACAUUUCUGACAAUUGUAUUUGUAUACAUUUUUUUUUUAUUAACACUCAUAAUCCUUUCAAGUUUUCUGGUGAUAUAAGAUCUCAUGACAAAAGCAGCAAGGUUAUGUUUAAUUUUAAUUUAUUUUUUUAAGUCUCCUUUGUAGUCAAUUAUGAACAGUUGUUUUUUUCACACCUGCCGUCUGCAUCUUAAUAUCUUAAACCACGCCAUGUGUGUGUAUUUUUGAAAUCCUGAUGCCUGUGACCUUGUGGAACAAAUUUGGAGCACAUCUCCUGAUUAUCUGUUACAAGGCAGUUAGUUGUUCCUAUAUUUGGUAAACCAGUCCUCAGACCUACAUACUAGCUGGGCUGGAAACUUUAAAGCAUUAAGGCAGUAUCACCUCACUUAACUUGCUGAUGUGCUAUUGAUAUAAACAUAUCCUUUUCUGGUGAUCAAGGUGUUUGCUAUUUGGAACAGUAUUUUGAGAAAGUAGCAUUUGGUUGAAAUUUUAAAAUGUAAAUGAAAUGUUCUGCCAAAAGCACAUGUAGCAGCAGGUAUCAAAUUUGGUUCAACUCCUGUUUCAGUAGCAUCCUCCUCAAUAAUUCUCCAGAAGGAAGUUUGCCAGCCAGUUCUUGUUCAUGAAAACAUUGAUGUUCGGUAUAGAAACAACUUUUAAUUAGAAAAACUCUUGUAAGAUUUAGUUUUCUCAAAUUUUAAGUUCUUUUAAAGAUUAUUAAUUUUGGUGCACCUGACACCACACGUUGCCAUGCGUUUGAUUUAUAUGCUUCAGUUCAUAUAUAAAAUAAAACUUUGCACCCAUGAGCUACGGUGUUAUUUCUUUAUCCUUAAAGCUUUAAAAGCUCUGUAAUUAGUCUGAUCAACUUAAUAUUUUGGUCCUUUUGCCGUUUUCCAUCAGAAGUUUUCAGGUAAAAGCUUUAUGUGGACUUGACACUUCUGGUAGUGAUGAACCAAGAAUGUGAAAUAUAUCUGUACUGUGUAUACUCAAGGAACAAAAAAUGAAUGCUUUGCUGAAUUCACAUAUCCAACGUGUACAAAGUUUACUAGCAGCUGACAUUUUCACAUAGAAAGGAAAAAGGAAAAAAAGAAAGUUUUAGUGUUUCGGCCAUUCUUUUUGUUUUUUUUUUUUACACACAUAUUUGUGUUUUACAUAAAAUAGCUUUGAAGGGUGAGCAUUGUAUUGAUAAUAGUUCAAUUCAGUUAGGCACGUUGACUGGUAAAAUUAGAGUAUUUGAAAUGGCAUAGGUAGACUAGUAUUUGUCCUUUUUUUAUUUUAUAAAUCAUGUUGUCUGUACAUUUAAUUACAUGCUUUUCGUCCACAAUCUUAGUUUUUCUUUUUUUUUCUUUUUUUUGGUUAUACAAUUCUGGGACAUUUGUUUUAACUGGUAUAUUUGUUUUGACACAGUUUGCAUUGAACUAUGCACUUCACAGAUGAGAAUAUGUUGAUAUGUUAAUGGAAAUGAGAAUUCAUGUGAAAUGGUUUUGUAUAUUUGCAACCUCUGUAUCAAAACUUCUGCAGCAAUAAAAGCAGCAUGGUGCCAUUGGAGCACUAGAGUGUA